rnacentral:snRNA from 1 species
GGGCUUGCUUCGGCAGCACAUAUACUAAAAUUGGAACGAUACAGAGAAGAUUAGCAUGGCCCCUGUGCAAGGAUGACAUGCAAAUUCAUGAAGCGUUCCACAUUUUU